rnacentral:tRNA from 1 species
GCUUCCCUGACAAGGAAGAGG